AUUAUUAUUAUUAUUUUAUUUAAAAUAUAUAUAUUUAGAUGACCACACACAACACACCAUCACCACCACCUCCCCGUACACACACACACACUCACACCCACAACGUCAAAUCGACAUCAUCUGCAAUGCGAAGAACAGACGCCACACUCACGCACUCCUCGCACUCGUUCACACGGUUGGCCAAAUAUUUUAAAAGACAGACCUCGUCAACGUCUAUUUGAGCGACAGCCACGUUACCAUGACAACUAAAUAAGUUUUGAGUCAUUACAGAGUUACCAACUGAUCUCGUCGACAGCGUCAUUACACACGUACGCGAUGUUGGUCAAAACUACUCGUACACACCACAUUCACCGAUGUACACAACAUACACCAAUACACACACAUACACAAAUACACACCACAUAAUUAUUAAUAUUAUUUAUUAUUAAUUAUUUAACUUAUGUUUUUUUUAUAUAUAUAUAAAUGUAAGAAAAGUAAUCCUUCCGAUGACUAAUGAAAUAAGAGUGCACAAGUGCUCCCUAAAAAUCCGUUUAUUAUUAUUAUUAUUAUUAUUAUUAUUAUUAAUAACUAUAUUAUAUGUUAUGUUUAUAUAGUGCAUAUUAUAUAUUAGAGCAUAAUGCGUAUGUAUACAUAUAUUUUUAUUAUGAGCUAUAUAGUUUGUAUAUAUAUUAUGAUGAUUUUAAUGCUUAGCUUAGGAAUUUAAUGUUUGGUUACCAAAUCUCAAAAGGCCAGUAAAAGGAGAUGUGCUCAAGGUUUAAAAAUGUUAAAAAAAGAUUAUAUUAUUUACAAUAUAAUACAAGCCGUUCAGUUCCUACACACUGUUCCAAUUAAAUAAGAUAUUAAUCCGCUAUGUUCGGUUUUCUUCUUCUUUUUAAUAAUUGCAGACAUUUUGUUCAUGAAAGAGAUAUAUGAGUGAGAACUAUAUGCAAAGAGAGAAUGAUCACAAUAAAUGUGUGACAAUAUUGCUGUUCACAGUAUUUGUGUGUUUUAUUGUAAAUUGUAUUUUUAUUACAAAAUAUUGUAACUUAAUGAUUUGAACCAAUUUACUAUAUCCGCACACUAAUAUUUUGUUUCUUUACGACGAUUUGUGUAAAAAAUAUUGUAAGUACAUAUACAUAUUUAUUUAUGUAUGUAGUAUUUUUAAAUAUCAAUUGAAUAAAAACGAUUAACUACCAUUGCCUCCAAAACAAGAGUACAAAAUAUUUUUCUAAAACCAAUUCGUUAUCUUUGUUAACCCCAUUAGUUUUAGUUUUACCUUUCAAAUUUUUUUUUGUUUUUUUGGGAUAUUUGGGCAUAAAAUCACUGAUUCGGCAUUCGUUUUUUGGAUCUUGUUUAAAAAAAAAA